rnacentral:rRNA from 1 species
CAUUAUCGAAGAUAAGAGUGCGCUUUAUUGCGGCUCGACCCUUCAUCCACUCACCCUGUGCACUGUAAUACCUUUUUCAUUAGACUCUCAAGUCAUUGAAUGUAACACUUUAAUAAAGUAAACAAAACUUUCAACAACGGAUCUCUUGGCUCUCGCAUCGAUGAAGAACGCAGCGAAAUGCGAUAAGUAAUGUGAAUUGCAGAAUUCAGUGAAUCAUCGAAUCUUUGAACGCACCUUGCGCCUUUUGGUAUUCCGAAAGGCACACCUGUUUGAGUGUCAUGAACCUCUCAGCCCUAUCAUUUCUUGUAAAUGGUAGUGGUCUGGAUCCUGAGCGUUGCCGUUAUAACAAUGACGGCUCGUUCGAAAUGUAUAAGCCAUCUCCUUAUAAAUCGGAUUGACUCGGCGUGAUAAUUAUUCGUCGAGGACGCUUUAACCAGCGGCCGAAAUGUACUAGAGUAGCUUCUAAACCGCCUUUGCGCAUUUUAAUUUAGACCUCAAAUCAGGUGGGACUACCCGCUGAACUUAAGCAUAUCAAUAA